rnacentral:rRNA from 1 species
UUGUCCUUAGUACCAGCAUUCAGUUGGGCACUCUAAGGAGACUGCCGGUGACAAACCGGAGGAAGGUGGGGAUGACGUCAAAUCAUCAUGCCCCUUAUGACCUGGGCUACACACGUGCUACAAUGGAUAGAACAAAGGGCAGCGAAGCCGCGAGGUCAAGCAAAUCCCAUAAAUCUAUUCUCAGUUCGGAUUGCAGGCUGCAACUCGCCUGCAUGAAGCCGGAAUCGCUAGUAAUCGCGGAUCAGCAUGCCGCGGUGAAUACGUUCCCGGGCCUUGUACACACCGCCCGUCACACCACGAGAGUUUGUAACACCCGAAGUCGGUGGGGUAACCUGGGGCAAAACUUAACCUCUUAUUGUAUUUAUAGGAAGUUAAGUUUUGCCCUAGGGGCCAGCCGCCUAAGGUGGGACAGAUGAUUGGGGUGAAGUCGUAACAAG